ensembl:lncRNA
CCCAGGUGCCCUCUCCCACCAGCCCUGGUUCCUCCCAAGCCCACUGCUCUCUUCUGCAAACCAGAAGCCGGGCAGCCGUCAGACCUCUCUCCUUCAACCCCAGCCCGACACCGAGUCCUGUUGACUUCACUUCAAAGGUCUUAGUUGCUGCACACUGGAUCUUCGUCGCAUCAGGCAGGAUCUUUAGUCGCAGAGCUUCAACUCUGGUUCCAGCGCACAGGCCUAGCUGCUCCAAGGCAUGUGGAAUUAGUUCCCUGGCCAGGGAUCGAACCCCCUUCCCUGCAUUGCAAGGUGCAUUGGUAACCACUGGAUCACCAGGGAAGUCCCAAGAGAAAUUCUCUAAAUUCUCAUCACAAGAAAAAAAAAAGAUUGUAACUGUGGUGAUGGAUGUUAACUUAAUGUGAUCAUUCACCGUAUCAGGUUAUUGCAUUCUGUACCUGAAGGUUACAUGAUGUUAUAUCUCUGUCGUAUCGCAACAGAACUGGGGGAAGAAAGAAAUUUUAUUGGUCUUUUCCUUUUGGGUUAUUCUUCUUUGUGUUCUGCUGAAGAAAUCCUUACCUG